AACAAUACCGCACUGAUAGGGGUAUGUUCCGACACCUCUUGAAGGUUAAUAUAGAAUCUCCAUACCCUACUUCGACCCAAUACGUCCACGGCGUACAGAACAUAUCUCUCCAAUAAUCAGGGCUUGGGUCCACGGGGAAACCCAACUCCUUGGGAGAAGCCUUGAAAGUCACCCCUAGAAAGC
rfam:Anopheles gambiae str. PEST whole genome shotgun sequencing project, whole genome shotgun sequence.